GGGGAUUUAGCUCGGCGGUAGAGCGCUUGCCUAGCAAGCACAAGGCCCUGGGUUCGGUCCCCAGCUCCG
rfam:Rattus norvegicus chromosome 14, whole genome shotgun sequence.